GACGUAGGAGGCGAGCGUUGUCCGGAUUCAUUGGGCGUAAAGAGCACGCAGGCGGUUUGGCAAGUCGGAUGUGGAAACCCGGAGCUCAACUCCGGGCGUGCAUCCGAUACUGCCCGACUAGAGGUAGGUAGGGGAGAUCGGAAUUCCUGGUGUAGCGGUGAAAUGCGCAGAUAUCAGGAGGAACACCGGUGGCGAAGGCGGAUCUCUGGGCCUUACCUGACGCUCAGGUGCGAAAGCUAGGGGAGCAAACAGG
rnacentral:rRNA from 1 species